rnacentral:rRNA from 1 species
GAUGAACGCUAGCGGGAGGCCUAACACAUGCAAGCCGAGCGGUAGAAGAUCUUCGGAUCUUUGAGAGCGGCGUACGGGUGCGGAACACGUGUGCAACCUGCCUUUAUCAGGGGGAUAGCCUUUCGAAAGGAAGAUUAAUACCCCAUAAUAUAAUGAGUGGCAUCACUAAUUAUUGAAAACUCCGGUGGAUAGAGAUGGGCACGCGCAAGAUUAGAUAGUUGGUAGGGUAACGGCCUACCAAGUCAGUGAUCUUUAGGGGGCCUGAGAGGGUGAUCCCCCACACUGGUACUGAGACACGGACCAGACUCCUACGGGAGGCAGCAGUGAGGAAUAUUGGACAAUGGGUGAGAGCCUGAUCCAGCCAUCCCGCGUGAAGGACGACGGCCCUAUGGGUUGUAAACUUCUUUUGUAUAGGGAUAAACCUUUCCACGUGUGGAAAGCUGAAGGUACUAUACGAAUAAGCACCGGCUAACUCCGUGCCAGCAGCCGCCGUAAAAC